rnacentral:rRNA from 1 species
AUUGAACGCUGGCGGCAUGCCUAACACAUGCAAGUCGAACGAGACCUUCGGGUCUAGUGGCGCACGGGUGCGUAACGCGUGGGAAUCUGCCCUCUGGUACGGAAUAACUCAGGGAAACUUGAGCUAGUACCGUAUAAUGACUUCGGUCCAAAGAUUUAUCGCCUGAGGAUGAGCCCGCGUCGGAUUAGCUAGUUGGUGAGGUAAAAGCUCACCAAGGCGACGAUCCGUAGCUGGUCUGAGAGGAUGAUCAGCCACACUGGGACUGAGACACGGCCCAGACUCCUACGGGAGGCAGCAGUGGGGAAUAUUGGACAAUGGGCGAAAGCCUGAUCCAGCAAUGCCGCGUGAGUGAUGAAGGCCUUAGGGUUGUAAAGCUCUUUUACCCGGGAUGAUAAUGACAGUACCGGGAGAAUAAGCCCCGGCUAACUCCGUGCCAGCAGCCGCGGUAA